rnacentral:rRNA from 1 species
UACGAAGGGUGCAAACGUUGCUCGGAAUUAUUGGGCGUAAAGCGCACGUAGGCGGCUUUGCAAGUCGGAUGUGAAAUCCCUCGGCUCAACCAAGGAAGUGCAUCCGAAACUGCAGAGCUUGAGUACCAAAGAGGAUCGCGGAAUUCUCGGUGUAGAGGUGAAAUUCGUAGAUAUCGGGAGGAACACCAGUGGCGAAGGCGGCGAUCUGGGUGGAUACUGACGCUGAGGUGCGAAAGCGUGGGGAGCGAACAGG